rnacentral:rRNA from 1 species
GACGAACGCUGGCGGCGUGCUUAACACAUGCAAGUCGAACGCUGAAGCUUGGUGCUUGCACUGGGUGGAUGAGUGGCGAACGGGUGAGUAAUACGUGAGUAACCUGCCCUUGACUCUGGGAUAAGCCUGGGAAACUGGGUCUAAUACUGGAUAUGACAUGCCACUGCAUGGUGGUGUGUGGAAAGGGUUUUACUGGUUUUGGAUGGGCUCACGGCCUAUCAGCUUGUUGGUGGGGUAAUGGCCUACCAAGGCGACGACGGGUAGCCGGCCUGAGAGGGUGACCGGCCACACUGGGACUGAGACACGGCCCAGACUCCUACGGGAGGCAGCAGUGGGGAAUAUUGCACAAUGGGCGGAAGCCUGAUGCAGCGACGCCGCGUGAGGGAUGACGGCCUUCGGGUUGUAAACCUCUUUCAGCACGGAAGAAGCGAGAGUGACGGUACGUGCAGAAGAAGCGCCGGGUAACUACGUG